CAAAACUCCUUCACAAAAACUAAAAUUCACAAGUAUCGUUUUAGGACACAAAAUGGCAUUAUCCUCUAAGGCCUUGAAAGGCAUAUUGAUGGGUAUCUUGGUCGCAACCAUAUUGCUCAUGUCCUCACCUGAAGUGGUGUCUGCCUCGCCGAACCUUAAUCUUGGACGAAAAUUUCUUGCCGUAUAUGCCCAAGACUAUGAAGGUGGAACCUACGGAACGGGAGGAGGAGGCUACUUUAAUCCAACACCUUAAUUAACAAUCAUCAUGUUCCACUCAUUGUAGAAUAAUACAUGAACUUCUAGACAGAGGAUGGGAUGUUCUUGCGGGUCUUCUCCAAUGUAAUAGCUUAAAAUAUUUUUGUCUUAUGAAAAACUAAUGUUUGUUGAA